rnacentral:rRNA from 1 species
GAUGAACGCUGGCGGCGUGCCUAAUACAUGCAAGUCGAGCGAACAGACGAGGAGCUUGCUCCUCUGACGUUAGCGGCGGACGGGUGAGUAACACGUGGAUAACCUACCUAUAAGACUGGGAUAACUUCGGGAAACCGGAGCUAAUACCGGAUAAUAUAUUGAACCGCAUGGUUCAAUAGUGAAAGACGGUUUUGCUGUCACUUAUAGAUGGAUCCGCGCCGCAUUAGCUAGUUGGUAAGGUAACGGCUUACCAAGGCAACGAUGCGUAGCCGACCUGAGAGGGUGAUCGGCCACACUGGAACUGAGACACGGUCCAGACUCCUACGGGAGGCAGCAGUAGGGAAUCUUCCGCAAUGGGCGAAAGCUUGACGGAGCAACGCCGCGUGAGUGAUGAAGGUCUUCGGAUCGUAAACCUCUGUUAUUAGGGAAGAACAAAUGUGUCAGUACCUAUGAACGUCUUGACGGUACCUAAUCAGAAAGCCACGGCUAACUCCGUG